rnacentral:rRNA from 1 species
CAGCAGUAGCCGCGGGAAAACGAAGGGUGCAAGCGUUACUCGGAAUUACUGGGCGUAAAGCGUGCGUAGGUGGUGGUUUAAGUCCGUUGUGAAAGCCCUGGGCUCAACCUGGGAAUUGCAGUGGAUACUGGGUCACUAGAGUGUGGUAGAGGAUAGUGGAAUUUCCGGUGUAGCAGUGAAAUGCGUAGAGAUCGGAAGGAACAUCUGUGGCGAAGGCGACUAUCUGGGCCAACACUGACACUGAGGCACGAAAGCGUGGGGAGCAAACAGGAUUAGAUACCCCGGUAGUCCCUGUCUCUUAUAC